rnacentral:lncRNA from 10 species
GUUUUGCAAAGGAAUUGGGAAGAACUAUAAUCAGUUGCUCUGAGUUCCAGCAGUCCAGUGUCCACCACUCUCUUCUCAAGUCAAAGGAGCAGAUGCUCAGCAGUCCCAUAGGAUCAGUAACAGCACAGCACCAUUGCCAAGCCACAUGGAAGCAUGAAGCAAAAGAAAACAUCAGUAAUAUUGAUUUUGUCUUAAUUUACAAUGUUAAUAUGUUGUUCAUCAUGGAUUUCCCACAUUAAUUUUGAUUUAAUAAAAUAUUACAUUAUCAUUUACCUUGAUU